GACGUAUACGGUGUGACGCCUGCCCGGUGCCGGAAGGUUAAUUGAUGGGGUUAGCGCAAGCGAAGCUCUUGAUCGAAGCCCCGGUAAACGGCGGCCGUAACUAUAACGGUCCUAAGGUAGCGAAAUUCCUUGUCGGGUAAGUUCCGACCUGCACGAAUGGCGUAAUGAUGGCCACGCUGUCUCCACCCGAGACUCAGUGAAAUUGAAAUCGCUGUGAAGAUGCAGUGUACCCGCGGCUAGACGGAAAGACCCCGUGAACCUUUACUACAGCUUGGCACUGAACAUUGAACCUACAUGUGUAGGAUAGGUGGGAGGCUAUGAAGACGUGACGCCAGUUGCGUUGGAGCCGUCCUUGAAAUACCACCCUUGUAUGUUUGAUGUUCUAACUUAGACCCGUUAUCCGGGUUGAGGACAGUGCCUGGUGGGUAGUUUGACUGGGGCGGUCUCCUCCCAAAGAGUAACGGAGGAGCACGAAGGUGGGCUAAUCACGGUUGGACAUCGUGAGGUUAGUGCAAUGGCAUAAGCCCGCUUAACUGCGAGAAUGACGGUUCGAGCAGGUGCGAAAGCAGGUCAUAGUGAUCCGGUGGUUCUGUAUGGAAGGGCCAUCGCUCAACGGAUAAAAGGUACUCCGGGGAUAACAGGCUGAUACCGCCCAAGAGUUCAUAUCGACGGCGGUGUUUGGCACCUCGAUGUCGGCUCAUCACAUCCUGGGGCUGAAGUCGGUCCCAAGGGUAUGGCUGUUCGCCAUUUAAAGUGGUACGCGAGCUGGGUUUAGAACGUCGUGAGACAGUUCGGUCCCUAUCUGCCGUGGGCGUUGGAAGAUUGAAGGGGGCUGCUCCUAGUACGAGAGGACCGGAGUGGACGAACCUCUGGUGUUCGGGUUGUGUCGCCAGACGCAUUGCCCGGUAGCUAAGUUCGGAAUUGAUAAGCGCUGAAAGCAUCUAAGCGCGAAGCGAGCCCUGAGAUGAGUCUUCCCUGACAGUUUAACUGUCCUAAAGGGUUGUUCGAGACUAGAACGUUGAUAGGCAGGGUGUGUAAGCGUUGUGAGGCGUUGAGCUAACCUGUACUAAUUGCCCGUGAGGCUUAACCAUACAACACCCAAGGGGUUUUGUA
rnacentral:rRNA from 1 species